ACUUGCUGUUCUUUUUCGAAGUGCAGUUGUCCUAGGUCUGAAAUAGUUCUGAAUUCGCUGCCCCAGGUCUUUAGACAGUACAAGAGUUCAGCCAUAAAAUUCUAGCGGAAAUUUCAAAUGAAAAGUCUGCCGUACUACGCAUUUUGAUGAAGAAUAAGAAAGAAGAACGAGAAAUUAUGGGUAUAUGCAUAGAAACAAUAACACGAUGGCAGAAAAUCAAAAGGACAACAUUGGACAUAUUUCUAAGGAUGACAUCGGUAAUAUAAUUAUCAACAAAGAGGGAUGUGUCACAUGCACUUGUGGAGAUCUGAUAUUUCAACUGCCUUACAGUGAAAUUAAUUUUACAUGCGAUACACUACAAUGUACGGUUGCAGACAAAACAAUAUUUAUAGAAUUGCAUGAAAAUGCAAGAAAUAUACCUUUGAAUAAUAAUAUAGCUCAAAAACCAUCUCAAGAAUAUAAUAGAAAAGAAAUAUUUUCAUAGAACGACGCAAGAACUAAGUUAUUUUUAACUUUAUAUAAAGAACACAAAGAACUAUUGGCAACUAAACAUAAAUUAUUAUGGCAAAAAAUUGCUGAACUUAUGCAAUCACAUGGAUAUAACACAACAGUUUCUCAAGUGGAAAAUAAAUUUAAAUCACUUGAAAGAUCCUACAAAAACAUGAUUACAAAUAAUAAACAAACUGGUAGAGGACGCGUAUCAUGCACAUAUGAAACAGAAUUGACUGAACUAUUGGGAUAUAAGCAUAAUAUUGAACCCUAGCGGUAACAGGCAGGCAAGGUUUAAUUUUAAGAGAAGAAAUACGAGCGAAUACAUUCACACAAGGAUACGCACUAUCUCCCAACAGGUGAUAAUUAUCUGAAAAAGUUCAUGCAAAUCAUUGCGUAUUGGUGAAUUUUUAAAUACUCUUGCAUCGUGCACCGAACCAGGAUAUCCAAUAAAUACAUCCAUAAAUUUCAUAUGAUGGUUAACUGUUCCCUGAAUAUGUAAAGAAAAACAUUGCUUCCGAUUAAUAUAUGAUUCAGGAUCUUCUGUUGGCUUAUCUAUUCUAAUGUGGGAACCAUCAAUAGCGCCUAAAACAAAUAUCAACAAUCCCAAAAAAUGAAGAAAUGCGAAAAAAAUGGUUUCACGUUAUUGGCUGUGAUGUAUUUUACAAAGGAGCAAAAAUAUGCAGUGACCACUUUACAAAAAAUGACUAUCAUGAAAUGAAUGAAUAUAAACAAAAUAAAAUAUUGAGAAAGACUGCAGUUCCAUUAAUUUUCGCGGAAGAAAAUUGUAAACAUGUGGAGGAGGAUACAGAUACCAAUUUAAGCACAGAUAUAAAUACAAAUAUAGCAGAAAAUAAUGACAUAGACAAUGAAAGAAAUAGUGAAAAUACGAGUAAGAAUUCCAUUACGGACACAGAUGCAGAUAUACAUACACAUGUAGCAGAAGAUGUUAAUAACAUAAACAUCCAUAGCAACCACAGUAAUAAUCACAUUAGAAAAAGGAAAUUGUCGCAAGAGAAUUUUAGAAACUCAAAAAUUAAAAAAAUAUUUGUAAACACUUCUAAACAUGCUACAAAAUGCUUCUGUAAAACAGAUUUUGUGUCUGAUGCAAAAUGGGAGCAGUUUGUAAGAUAUGCGUCAUAUAUUCGAAAUGAAACAAAAAAUAUGUGGCAAAAGAAACACCGUAUGCAGAAGAAAGUUUUAACUUAUAAAGAUUUGCUUCAGGACCUGAAAAGUAAAAACUUUAUAACAAAUAAUGGUAUACAUGCAAUCAAAGUAAGUUGAGUUUAGCUAUUUUCCAUUCGCAGAAAGAUUUGAAAUUCACAUUGUCCACAAUGUUUAUUCUUUUAUAAGAAAGUUCAUGAUAACUCUCCAAUCACAAUGUGACUUCAUCAUAAUAUUGACUCUUAUAGAAAGGUCCAUGAUAAUGAAACAAAUGGUAGAACAAUACUUGAUUUCUACAUCAUGUUAAAAAUAUGGUAUAACAAAUGUUGUGCGUAUACAUAUACCCUCUCAAUCUACAAAUGCACUAAUGAUGUUAUAUCUUCGUUCUAAAUAAGUUAUUAUGUAUAUGUCUAUGCGUACAACCAUUUGUCUCCUUGAUUUCUUCUGUUUUUAUAUCUAUAUUUUGUACUUCCUUUUUCUUUAUUUAGGAUAUAUUGUCACCUGUUAUGCAACAGUUGCUACUUACAAUGUUAAAUAAGAAGCGAAAGAAGUCGUUCCCCGAAAGUUUAAAAAGUUUUGCAUGCACGUUACAUUUUCAUUCGCCUGCAGCAUAUUUGUAUGUAAGAAAAAUGUUUUUACCUCACCCCAGUACACUGCGCAUGUGGACGCAGACAAUUCGUAGUAAUUCCGGUAUAUCUGAACAAUCGUUUAAAACUAUACUCGAUAAGGUGCAAAAUGCUAGAGAGAAAGGAAAAAACUUAGUUUUCAAUAUAACUUUUGAUGAAAUGAAUAUUAAGAAAAAAGUUGAUUGGGACGGCAAAGAAUUACACGGUUUUAUUGAAACGGGUAUUAAAGAUAGUAAGUCUGACAGUCUGCCAUUUGCUACCCAUAUCCUUCUUUUUAUGUUAGUGUGCAUAAAUGAUCAUUUUAAAAUCCCAAUUGCAUUUUACGUUAUCGAGGCAUUAAAUGGUAAGGAAAAAGCAAAUUUGUUAAAUAACAUUUUAAGUAUUCUCCAUGAAAAAGCAAUUUACGUUGUUAGUAUUACAUUUGAUAGAGCAACUUCUAAUAUUGCAAUGUGCGAGAUACUAGGCGCACAGUUAAAACACGUCAAUUUUGAACAUAUUGUUCCGUAUUUUAAGCAUCCUAUUGACAAAUCUAAAAAUAUUUAUAUUUUUUAUGAUGCAUGUCACAUGUUGAAGCUUGUGAGGAAUGCAAUUAGUAAAGGGGUUAUUAAAGAUAAAGACAAAAAUGUAAUAAGUUGGAACUUUCUGAAAAAAUUAGUAAAUGUGCAAACUGUGGAAAAAUUACAUGUUGCCAAUAAAAUGCGAAAAAGACAUAUACAGUUUUUUAAUGAAAAGAUGAAAGUUAAUCUAGCAGCAUAAACAUUAAGUAAUUCUGUGGCUGAUGCAUUGAUGUUUUUAGAAUAUGAAUUAAAAGAAUCAAGAUUUAUAGGAGCUUCAACUACUGCAACAUUUUAUAAAACUUUCAAUGACAUAUUUGAUAUCUUAAAUUCACGUAACAUAUACAAUAAAACUGAAAAUAAACAUGCAAUAACAAGAAA
rnacentral:misc_RNA from 1 species